rnacentral:rRNA from 1 species
AUUGAACGCUGGCGGCAUGCUUUACACAUGCAAGUCGAACGGUAACAGGUUAAGCUGACGAGUGGCGAACGGGUGAGUAAUGCAUCGGAACGUGCCCGAUCGUGGGGGAUAACGCAGCGAAAGCUGCGCUAAUACCGCAUACGAUCUGAGGAUGGAAGCGCGGGACCGGAAGGCCUCGCGCGAUCGGCGCGGCCGAUGGCAGAUUAGGUAGUUGGUGGGGUAAAGGCUCACCAAGCCAACGAUCUGUAGCUGGUCUGAGAGGGCGACCAGCCACACUGGGACUGAGACACGGCCCAGACUCCUACGGGAGGCAGCAGUGGGGAAUUUUGGACAAUGGGCGAAAGCCUGAUCCAGCAAUGCCGCGUGCAGGAAGAAGGCCUUCGGGUUGUAAACUGCUUUUGUACGGAGCGAAAAGGUCUCCUCUAAUACAGGGGGCUCAUGACGGUACCGUAAGAAUAAGCACCGGCUAACUACGUGCCAGCCGCCGCAGUAA